CAGUUAUUCAUCAGAUCUUUCAGAAAUAUUAUGAUAUUUAUAUAUGAUAUUUUCUCAGCAGUUUAUAUUUUAUUAAACCACUGUGGGUACCCAGUUACAGAAACAGGUUGCCGUCAAAUAAAACGAUGUCUACGGACAUCCAGGUUGCCUUCGGUUUAUGUUGCCUUCGGUUUAUGUUGCCUUCGGAUAUGAUGAUGUCUACAGACAUCCAGUUUACUUUCAGUUACGUCAGUGCACUUGACAUUUGCCUCAUGAGUUUCGGGGACGCCCGGACCAUGAGUGCCAGGAUUGCGGAUCAGGCUGACUACGGUCUCCUGAUACCUGCCAGGAUUGCGGAUCAGGCUGACUACGGUCUCCUGAAUCCUGCCAGUUUGCGGCUCGGAUACACUAUGUGUCGCCGAGACCUGCCAGGGGAUUGACGGAUUUACAGAGGAAUUGACGGAUACCAGGAAUUGACGGAAUUAAAAGGGUACACCCAGUUGGUAACUUUAGAGGAAUUUCAGUGCAAUUAUGCAAAUAUUGAUUUCAGUGAUUUUACUUGAGUUUCAUUGAUAUCGAGCAGCUUUUAUAUCUGAGUAAAUAUAUAACUGUAUAUAUAUGUUUACCUAAAUGCUUUGGACUUAUCAUAACUCAAGUACAGUUUACAGAUUCAGUUUUUAUGAAUAUUAUAUUUUUACAGUGGGGGUUAUUAUGUUCAUAAACUGUUUGAGAACUUUAUUUUGGUCCACUCACACUUUGAAAUGUUUUGCGCCCCCCAGGCAGUCGAGUGCACAGGAAUCCACCACCAGGCCUACUCC
rnacentral:lncRNA from 1 species